GUAGCUAUAUCACAUUGAAACACCGAUUCUCGUACGAUUACCGAAGUUAAGCCACGUGGAACCUGGUCAGUACCUAGAUAGGUGAACACUUGGGAAUACCAGGUGCCGUAUG